AUGCACGCUGGCGGCGUGCCUCAUCCAUGCCAUUCGAACGAAACUUCUUUAUCACCGAGUGCUUGCACUCACCGAUAAAGAGUUGAGUGGCGAACGGGUGAGUAACACGUGGGCAACCUGCCCAAAAGAGGGGGAUAACACUUGGAAACAGGUGCUAAUACCGCAUAACCAUAGUUACCGCAUGGUAACUAUGUAAAAGGUGGCUAUACUACCGCUUUUGGAUGGGCCCGCGGCGCAUUAGCUAGUUGGUAGGGUAAAGGCUUACCAAGGCAAUGAUGCGUAGCCGAAUUGAGAGGUUGAUCGGCCACAUUGGGACUGAGACACGGCCCAAACUCCUACGGGAGGCAGCAGUAGGGAAUCUUCCACAAUGGGCGAAAGCCUGAUGGAGCAACGCCGCGUGGGUGAAGAAGGUCUUCGGAUCGUAAAACCCUGUUGUUAGAGAAGAAAGUGCGUGAGAGUAACUGUUCACGUUUCGACGGUAUCUAACCAGAAAGCCACGGCUAACUACGUG
rnacentral:rRNA from 1 species